UUUGGGGUCACCGAGGUCUUGGGGUCACCAAAUUUUGGGGACUUUGGGGUCUUUUGGGGACUUUGGGGUUUUGGGGCCAUUCAAGUGCAUUUUGGGGCCAUCCAAGCGCAUUUUGGGUCAAUUCAACCAUUUUUCGGCAUCCCCGAGCUCUUGGUGUCCCCGAGGGCUCUCGGUGCGUUGGGGCUGCCCCCAAACUUUGCGUUUCUCACCCCAAAUUUUGGGGAUAUUGGGGUCUUUUGAGGACAUUCAAGUGCGUUUUGGGGGAAUUCAAGUGCGUUUUGGGGUCACCGAGGUCUUGGGGACGCCAAAUUUUGGGGACUUUGGGGUCUUUUGGGGACUUUGGGGUUUUGGGGACAUUCAAGUGCAUUUUGGGGAAAUUCAAGCGUCUUUUGGGGUCCCUGAGGUCUUGGGGACACCAAAUUUUGGGGAUUUUGGGGUCUUUUGGGGAUGUUCAAGCGUCUUUUGGGGUCACCGAGGUUUUGGGGACGCCAAAUUUUGGGGACUUUGGGGUCUUUUGGGGACAUUCAGGUGUCUUUUGGGAACACCGAGGGGUCUUGGGGACACCAAAUUUUGGGGAUUUUGGGGUCUUUUGGGGAAAUCAAGUGUGUUUUGGGGACUUUGGGGUCUUUUGGGGACAUUCAAGUGUGUUUUGGGGUCACCGAGGUCUUGGGGACACCAAAUUUUGGGGACAUUCAAGUGUCUUUUGGGGACUUUGGGGUCUUUUGGGGACUUUGUGAUUUUGGGGCCAUCCAAGCGCAUUUUGGGUCAAUUCAAGCCUUUUUCGGCAUCCCCGAGCUCUUGGUGUCCCCGAGGGCUCUCGGUGCGUUGGGGCCGCCCCCAAACUUUGCGUUUCUCACCCCAAAUUUUGGGGACAUUGGGGUCUUUUGGGGACAUUCAAGGGGGUUUUGGGAACACCGAGGGGUCUUGGGGACACCAAAUUUUGGGGAUUUUGGGGUCUUUUGGGGCAAUUCAAGUGUCUUUUGGGGUCCCCGAGGUCUUGAGGACACCAAAUUUUGGGGACUUUGGGGUCUUUUGGGGACUUUGGGGUUUUGGGGCCAUCCAAGUGCGUUUUGGGGCAGUUCAAGCCUCUUUUGGGGUCCCUGAGCUCUUGGGGAUGCCAAAUUUUGGGGAUUUUGGGGUCUUUUGGGGACAUUCAAGUGUCUUUUGGGGUCACCAAGGUCUUGGGGACAAGGAGGGGUCUUGGGGACACCAAAUUUUGGGGACUUUGUUUUUUUUUGGGGAAAUCAAGUGUGUUUUGGGGACAUUGGGGUCUUUUGGGGACACCAAAUUUUGGGGACUUUGGGGUCUUUUGGGGAAAUCAAGCGUCUUUUGGGGUCCCCGAGGUCUUGGGGACGCCAAAUUUUGGGGACUUUGGGGUCUUUUGGGGACACCUGGGUGUGUUUUGGGGACAUUGGGAUCUCGGAGACGCCAAAUUUUGGGGAAAUUCAAGUGUCUUUUGGGGACAUUGGGGUUUUGGGGACAUUCAAGUGUGUUUUGGGGUCACCGAGGUCUUGGGGACGCCAAAUUUUGGGGACAUUCAAGUGUGUUUUGGGGACACUGGGGUCUUGGGGACACCAAAUUUUGGGGACUUUGGGGUCUUUUGGGGCCUUUGGGGUUUUGGGGACAUUCAAGUGUGUUUUGGGGUCUCCGAGGUCUUGGGGUCACCAAAUUUUGGGGACUUUGGGGUCUUUUGGGGCCUUUGGGGUUUUGGGGACAUUCAAGUGUGUUUUGGGGUCUCCGAGGUCUUGGGGUCACCAAAUUUUGGGGACUUUGGGGUCU
rnacentral:lncRNA from 1 species